CUUCUUAGCCAGGAUGGCUUCGAUCUCCUGACCUCGAGGACCACCCACUUUCUUACCACACUUUGAGAGGGCAGCCCAGAAUCUUCAGCACUGCAUGGGCGGCUCAUCCUGGAGUCUCACUGUGCACCUUUCCUCAAUGCUGCCUUUCUAGGUAUCCUUGAGGACAGCCUCAGCCUUUAUUGCUGUAUUCCUUCAUGCUACAGGGAGGAGAAGCACCUGUCAGAGUAUAAAAGUGAGCAUACGAUAGUCAAUAAGACUUGCUUCAAUGACUAAGAUAUAUUUCAUUUUUUUGCUUGUUUGUUUGUUUGUUUGUUUGAGACGGAGUCUUGCUCUGUCACCCAGGCUGGAGUGCAAUGGCGUGAUCUCGGCUCACUGCAACCUCCGCCUCCCGGGUUCAAGCAAUUCUCCUGCCUCAGUCUCCUGAGUGCCUGGGAUUACAGGCACCGCCUCCAUGCCUGGAUAAUUUUUGUAUUUUUAGUAGCGACGAGGUUUCACCAUGUUGGCUAGGUUGGUCUCGAGCUCCUGACCUCAGGAAAUCCACCCGCCUUGGCCUCCCAAAGUUCUGAGAUUACAGCCACUGUGCCUGGCUGAGAUAUAUUUCUUACUUGGGCCUACUUGGGCUUAGUGUGGUUGUUUUUAUUUUUAUUUAUUUAUUUUAAUUUUCCUUUUCUUUCUUAGAUACGUGAUAACUUAUUAACUUGCAUUCCGAAUUAUGACUACUAGUGAAGUUGAAAAUGUCUUACGUUUAUUAGACAUUUUUAUUUUUACUUUUAAGUUCCAGGGUACAUGUGCAGGAUGUGCAGGUUUUGUUACCUAGGGAAAUGUAUGCCAUGGUGGCUUGCUGCACCGGUCAACCCAUCACCCAGGAGGAAGAAAUUUCAACGUUUGUGGAUUCCUCUCAGAGAAUAUUUUACACUCAUUAAGUAUGAAAAAAAUGUGUUAUUGCAAAGAAAAGGAAGAAGUAAAUUCUGAUUAUAUAAGCGUCUAGGAAGCAUGGGUGACGCUGCUGACCUAUAGUGCAAUCUCGUUUUAACGAAAAGAAAAGUCUGAAAAAAACUAUGGCAGCCUACACAGCCCAAAUCAAGGCUUUCAUAAGCAGAUAUUGCCACCUUUGGGGCCACUAGAAAAUCAAAUCAAAUCCUUGAGCAAAUUAUAAAACAAUACUCCUAGGAAAUAUUAAAAUAAUGAGUCAUUCUACUUUUCAAAUAUAUGGUGGUAAAAUCACAUUAUAUCUCUGUUUUGUGGUAGUUUUAUUUAAGUGUAUUUUUUAAAGUUAUAUUUUGGUAAAAUUGUUUUUCUAACUUCAUCGUCUUUUGGAAAGCAGUUUUGUUAUAUUUUUCUGUUAGUGUUGGUCACUGAGGGACUAUUUUAUACAUAAAAAAAGGAAUAAUAAAAUUCCUGGCUUCAAUAGGCA
rnacentral:lncRNA from 1 species